rnacentral:lncRNA from 1 species
AUAUAUGGAUAACAUUAUUUUUCUUCUUUUAUAACAAAGAGUUUUUUAUUUUUUUUGAGAGAUAGGUAGCACGCUACUCGUUUCGUUUAUUUCAUUUAAAAAUAAAUUUAGCUGAAAAUAUGAAUCAAUUAGAAUUCGAACUUGGAAUCUCGGGUACCAAUCACCAAAUUCUUUGCCACUUGCUCUAGAAACGGUAUAUUAGAUGAUUCUAUUCAAAACAGUCUUUCAUAUUUCUAUUUAGAGUAAUUUGCUAAUAAUUUAAUAUUUUUUUUUUUUUUUUGAGAAAAAGGUAGCACGCUACCCGCUUCAUUCAUUAAACAGAUGAAUUAAGCUACAAGAGUGGGGCAACAUGGCCCCGAGAGAAAACAAGCCGAAAAAAAAAAAAAAAAAAAAAAAA